UUUAUGGGACAGGUUCAUAACCGCUUAAUCAACAGUUUCUCCUCUAAAAGUUACUCCUAUAGUGACUUGGCAAUCCGGUUAAAUACAAACGUUUGUGCUUAGCUAAUUACGGACCGCUUUGCUUUCAGUAUGAACUGGAUACCAUUGACAUGGAUGAUAUUAAGUGAUGACUUUCUCAGGCGGUAGCUACGAGGGAGCUAACUGCUACCAUGCCAGAGAUUGUUCCCCUGGUGAAGGCUGGAUGAGAGUUCGACAAAAAACAACACUGUCAGACUGAGUUUAAUCGAAACUCUCCAUCACAUGAUUCCAACAGUGGUUGCCGUAGUAGGGGACGGGAAUCCUGGGGGAUUGCAAACCACCAAAGUUCAUGGACACGUGCCAGACUGGGGGGAAUGUUGUUGCCAUGGAGACAGCUGAGGACUGCCGCUGCUGCUAGUGCGCCCUCUCCUGGAUCCUUCUGAGUAUCACACACUAAAUCCACCUUUGCCAUCUUUUCACAUAUAGAGCUCUCUAAAC